AUCCAGACUCCUACGGGAGGCAGCAGUGGGGGAUAUUGCACAAUGGGGGAAACCCUGAUGCAGCGACGCCGCGUGAGGGAUGAAGGUCUUCGGAUCGUAAACCUCUGUCAGCAGGGAAGAAGAAAGACGGUACCUGACCAAGAAGCCCCGACUAACUACGUGCCAGCAGCCGCGGUAAUACGUAGGGGGCAAGCGUUAUCCGGAUUUACUGGGUGUAAAGGGAGCGUAUACGGCAGGGCAAGUCUGGAGUGAAAGGCAGGGGCCCAACCCCUGGACUGCUCUGGAAACUGUCCGGCUGGAGUGCAGGAGAGGUAAGUGGAAUUCCUAGUGUAGCGGUGAAAUGCGUAGAUAUUAGGAGGAACACCAGUGGCGAAGGCGGCUUACUGGACUGUAACUGACGUUGAGGCUCGAAAGCGUGGGGAGCAAACAUGAUUAGAUACCCUUGUACUC
rnacentral:rRNA from 1 species